GAGAAAUGAGGAUAAUCAAUCAGUUCUGAGUUACCGAUGAGGACUUCAGAUCCAACUCUGAUCUCACUACAGUG